rnacentral:lncRNA from 10 species
UGAGGUCUCACUGUGUUACUCAGGCUGGUCUCCAUCUCCUGGCCUCAAGGAAUCCUCCCACCUCGGCCUCUGAAAGUGCUGGGAUUACAGGCAUGAGCCACUGCGCCCGGCCUCAUCCCUGGCUUUGAAGAGAGAAGGAGAGGCUUCCCAGCACUCAGAGGGACAGGAAGGAAGUGCCUUUCCAGCCUCAGUUGUGUACCCAGCACAGCAAUACUGAUUUGGAAACUGAGGUUCAGUACGAGGAAAUAACUGGUCCAAGGAAGUAAACACGGGCUCCACUGACCACAGGAGGCCAAGCUGGAUUGCUGCCCAACAUGUCAACAUGCACUGCUCUGGCCCCCUCCUCCCUCGCUGUGCCUCCAGCUGUGUUUUCUUUGGAUCUCUGCAUGGCUUGGAGAAGCUGCGUCAGCCCAUCUCCUCUCCUGCCCAGUCCCCACCCCCAACGCCCACCCCAGCUACCCCUCAGGGAGUGACCCCCUUCUCCUCACUCUGCCUGAGCAUAUGAGCACUGCAGCUCAUGCGCCUGUGUUGGUCAGCAUGGGUGCACCUGGGGACAUGUGACAGGGGACCCAGCUGGAAUGAGAGGAGGAUUAUCUGAGGAGGACAAAUCUCAGGCCAGGAAGACCCCGAUUACAUCUCUCCAGACAGGCGAAAUGAUCAUCUGUUUCCAGAAUGCAACUGGACAAAACAGUCCGCGUGAGGGCUGGACAUUUACCAAAUGGGUAAAAGGAAUCUAAAAGGGCUGGGGCUUGCUGAGUUCAGCCAGGCCAAAGCUGUGGACUGACUUUCCGUGAUUUCUAAAGCUGGGAGAUCUGUUGUUUUCUUCUUUCUUUCCCAUUUCCUCCUUGAAGGCCAGUCCAUUUUCUGUGUGAAGAACAGGCCACUUGGUGUCUGAAGUCACCUCCAGAUUAGAAACUCAAGGAUUCUAAGGUUCCUUAUGAGGUGUUGCUUUCCCUGGGUCCUCGGUCCUAGGGCAUUGUAUCCCCACACCUGGUGCCUCUCCAUCAGGGCUCGGAUGUCAGCCUUGGGCAGCUCACUCUCUCUCUGACUUCCCUUUUCUUUUCUUCUUCAUAUCCCACCCUUCUUCCCAGUUUCUAUGCCUCUGUCAGUCUGCUAGCUGACUCUGACUCAUGGGGACCUCUUUCUGUGGUCCUCUAAGCCUCCUAACCGUCUGUGCUUUCCUUAUACUCCACGUGGGCUUUCCAGCCUCUACUUGUUUUGAGGAAGAGGUGGAGGAUCCAUAGCAGCUCUGUCUAGAUGUUUGGAUUUCAUAAGCCAGUCACAACAUUUCAAAGUAAGUGAAGGGAGGGGGCCCCAAAGGAAGGGAUUUUUUCCUUUGAUAAUAAGGAUAGGCCACCAUCUUCAGCCUAAGCUUGUCCCUUUUCUGCAGGGCUUGCUGAAAUGUUGCAAGAAGUGGUCAACAUAAUGCAACUCGAAUUUUUCCAGGUGUCCUAAUACUGCAGGAGUCCCCCGCAUAACCCAGGCUUUGGUCUAACAAGAUUGCCAACCCCUAGCCAGGAAUCAUGAGGAUGUCACCGCCCUCUGGCCUUCUUCCUCUCUUCCACCCAGCUAGAUCCAUAUUUUAGCUCCCCCCCAACCCUAGCAAGUACCAAAUCCUGCUCCUUUUCCAAGCUUCCCCAUCACAGGUCAUGGCACCAGCUUUAUGCAGUGCUCAAGUCAAAAAUAUAGGAGUCAUCCUUGACUUCCUUUUUUUGUUAUACCCCACAUCAGCAAAUCCCGGUGUCUCUAACUCCAAAAGACGCCUCACCUUAUGCCUGUAAUCAAAGCACUUUGGGAGGCUGAGGUGGGAGGAUCACUUGAGCCCAGGGGUUCAAGACCAGCCUGAGCAACAUAGUGAGACUUUGUCUCUACAAAAAAUAAUUAGCCAGGUGUGGUAGCAUGCGCCAAUAGUCCCAACUACUUGGGAGGCUGAGGUGGGAAGAUCGCUUGAGUCCAGGAGGUCAAGGCUGCAGUGAGCUGUGAUUGCGCCACUGCAUUCCCGCCUGGGCAACAGAGCGAGACUCUGCCUCGAAAAAAAAAAAAGAUGCCCCACAUCUAUACAAUUCUCUCUAUCAGCACCAACACCACUUCAAGCCAUUUUCAUUGGUUACCGGGACAACCUGCCUUAUCUCCCUGUCUCACCAUUUCUCCUGUAGGUCUAGCCUCUCUACAUCAAUCUAAGUGAUAUUUUUAAAAAUGGGAAUCAUAGAAUUUUUCUAUCCUGCUCAACAUCCUCCCCAUCACACACAAAAUAAAACCCAGACUCUGGCCACGACCUCUGGAAACACUGCAGGUGAACUAGCUCCUGCCUACCUUCCUCUCCAAGCCCAUCUUCUACCACUGUUGGGAACACACCAAGUGCCUUCAGCCUCAGACUUUCCUUAAUUCUUUUCUCCACCAGACACAUCAUCCCACACACAUACCCAUGCAGAGUUACUCAGAUCCCUACUCAAAUGUCACCCCCACAGAAGAGGCCCCCUCUGUGUCAUUACCUGUCAUUCUGUUUGUUUAAUUCUUUAUUGCCUGUUUCUUCCAGUAGACUGCAAGCUCCCCAGGGCGGGGACAGGAGCCUGCCACUCUUAUUCAUGGCCAUAUGUCCAGUGCCCAGCACAGGGUCUGGCACACAGAAAAUGCUCAAUAGAUGUUUGUUGAAUUCAAGAUGGCCGGGCACGGUGGCUCAUGCCUGUAAUCUCAGCACUUUGGGAGGUCGAGGCAGACAGAUCACG